GAGCCGGAGAUUCUGAUUCCUGGAGACUUGCCAGUCUUCAGAAAUCAUCUCUAUUGCUGCUUCCAUGAAAUGCCAGUGUCCGGAGGCAGAGUGCCCUUGUCCCCUCCCUAGCGGGCACCUUCCAUUCUCAGGGGAACAAGGGUCUGUCAUGCCCAGGCAGAGGUGGAAUCAGGACAGAGGGAGCGGUGUAAUCUCUGGAGAGAGUCUCUCCAGACUCUGAAAACUGUGAUGAAAUCGCAUGUCCCCCAAGUAGCACCUUCUCCUCCCGAGACUCUCACCAUAUCUGCAGACCUUGCCAACGUCCCAGAGAGACAGACCUGCCUCCCUGGUGGAGGUCUCCUGACAUGAGCAGCUCUUGAAGGAGCGUAAGAGGAAGACACUGAGACUUUGCCUGGGAGGCAGUUCUCAGCAGCAUUACCAGGUCUCCUUGGCCGGAGCCAUCCGUCAGCCAGCGAGCAUCCCAGGGGCUGACAGCGCUGUGAUGAAGCACAUUUGUUCAGACACGGGAGACGGUGCCUGAAAAGCCAACACCCUUGAUUUUCUUUGAAGCUAUUACACUCUGUCAUGUCAGGGAGCUGAGCCCAAGUGAUGGCUGCGAGGCAAUGGGAGAUUCACAGCCCAGGGCCUGGGGGAGCCAUGGGAUUGGUGGUUGUUCCCCCCACCCCCUCGGUGAGGCAAUAAAAAUUGAUUUUUGAGGCAA